rnacentral:rRNA from 1 species
UGCAGUCGAACGGCAGCACAGUAAGAGCUUGCUCUUAUGGGUGGCGAGUGGCGGACGGGUGAGGAAUACAUCGGAAUCUACCUUUUCGUGGGGGAUAACGUAGGGAAACUUACGCUAAUACCGCAUACGACCUUCGGGUGAAAGCAGGGGACCUUCGGGCCUUGCGCGGAUAGAUGAGCCGAUGUCGGAUUAGCUAGUUGGCGGGGUAAAGGCCCACCAAGGCGACGAUCCGUAGCUGGUCUGAGAGGAUGAUCAGCCACACUGGAACUGAGACACGGUCCAGACUCCUACGGGAGGCAGCAGUGGGGAAUAUUGGACAAUGGGCGCAAGCCUGAUCCAGCCAUACCGCGUGGGUGAAGAAGGCCUUCGGGUUGUAAAGCCCUUUUGUUGGGAAAGAAAAGCAGUCGGCUAAUACCCGGUUGUUCUGACGGUACCCAAAGAAUAAGCACCGGCUAACUUCGUGCCAGCAGCCGCGGUAAUACGAAGGGUGCAAGCGUUACUCGGAAUUACUGGGCGUAAAGCGUGCGUAGGUGGUUGUUUAAGUCUGUUGUGAAAGCCCUGGGCUCAACCUGGGAAUUGCAGUGGAUACUGGGCGACUAGAGUGUGGUAGAGGGUAGUGGAAUUCCCGGUGUAGCAGUGAAAUGCGUAGAGAUCGGGAGGAACAUCCAUGGCGAAGGCAGCUACCUGGACCAACACUGACACUGA